AGAAGAUUAUCAUGGCCCCUGUGCAAGGAAGGCAUGCAAAUGUGUCAAGAGUUGUAUAUGUCU
rnacentral:snRNA from 1 species